UUGGAGGGCAAGUCUGGUGCCAGCAGCCGCGGUAAUUCCAGCUCCAAUAGCGUAUAUUAAGGUUGUUGCAGUUAAAAAGCUCGUAGUUGAAUUUCGGGGUUCUACCGUUGGUCGGGCUUUGUCUGUACUGGUGUGUAGAAUUUCUACCUUCUGGGGAACCAUCAUGCUAUUAAUUUAGCGUGGUGGGAAACCAGGACCUUUACCUUGAAAAAAUUAGUGUGUUCAAAGCAGGCUUAUGUCUGAAUACAUUAGCGUGGAAUAAUAGAAUAGGACGGUGGUCCUGUUUUGUUGGUUUCUGAAUCACCGUAAUGAUUAAUAGGGAUAGUUGGGGGCAUUAGUAUUCAAUUGUCAGAGGUGAAAUUCUUGGAUUUAUUGAAGACUAACUUCUGCGAAAGCAUUUGCCAAGGAUGCUUUCAUUAAUCAAGAACGAAAGUUAGGGGAUCGAAGACGAUCAGAUACCGUCGUAGUCUUAACCAUAAACUAUGCCGACUAGGGAUCGGACGAUGUUAAUUUUUCUUGACUCGUUCGGCGCCUUACGGGAAAC
rnacentral:rRNA from 1 species